rnacentral:rRNA from 1 species
GUCUACGGCUAUGCCACCCCGAACCCAUCUGUUCUCAGAAGCUAAGCAGGGUCGGCCUUGGUUAGUACUCGGAUAGGAGACCACCUAGGACCAGGUGCUGUCGGCG